AUGACAUGAGGGAAUUGGAAUCUCGGCGGAACUCGGGCAGAAUGUACGUUUAGUUACACACUGCCACAUGCCUAAUAUAUAAACACGUAUUUGCUUCUGUAAGGAUAUUACAAAUUUCAACUGUUAUCUAAACAGUAAAUUGUGCCUACCUAUACUUCCUGAGUAUAUAUUUAUUCUCUGUCUACGUAUACAUUUUAAAUUUGCUAUAUUCAUUUUCCACAUACAAUUCUUUAUUGCGGUGUGUCACAUAAACCUACUGUAUAUUACACACAUCAAUACAUCCUUAUAAGCCAAGUUUUUGUUAUUUUAUAGGGCCAAAUAGGAGACCAGUAUAUAUAUAUAUAUAUAUAUAUAGUUUAUUUAUUUUUUACAAUAUUGAUGCUGUUUUGCAGUUUAGCAUUAGCAAUUAAAAAAUUUAGACCACUGUAUAAAUAUAUUGUUUGCCGUUUUAAAAGUAACUGGUUCUUUAAGGAAGACUCUAAGCACCAAACCAAUGAAAGAGAAUAUAAAACCCAAUAGGUGAAGUGCUCCUUUAACCUUGUUUCUUAGAGAUCCAAUGAAAACAUGCAUGUGCUUUUUUCUGGCAUGUUUUACUUGGGAGUAUAAGAACCAUGAAAAAGUAAUAUUUACAAGUCCUCCCCUCUUUUCUUGGCACAGACUGAAAUGCUUUACCAAUCGGAUGCUUCUUAUUUAGAAGCCUCUUUGCUGGAACUGCACAUGAAUUUUUAAUUAGUUGUACAGGCAUACCCUACUUUUAAGUACACAAUGGGACCAGAGCAUGUAUGUAAAGCGAAAAUGUACUUAAAGUGAAGCAAUACCUUUUUUUCACUUCCCAAUGAAUGCACUGCAUUGCAAUAGUAAUUUACAGGCAUAACUGAUACUACAACUGCAAAAAAAGAGCGGAAAUAGAACAGUAAAAUAGAAUGACAGUCAAGUUGUGGCAAGGAAUAUUUUGGUGAAAAAUAUGGUUAAAAAAAGAAAAGCACCAGAAUCUGAAUGUGAACACAACACGUUUCAUGCAAAAAGUAUAGGGUUAUUUGCUAAAGUAAGAAUUGGCAGGCAUUCAAAUAGAAUUCAAAGUGAAUUUCAAAUUAAAGGCCAAAUCAGCCAAACUGAAAGCAAAUUGGGUUAGAAAACUUUUUCUAGUCCAGCUAUUUUGGCCUUAAAUUUGAAAUUCACUUUGAAUUUCCAACAAUUUUUAUGUAAGUGAAUAAAUAUGCCAACAUUCCUGUUUCUUCUCCACUGCAGGGUAUAAUGUGGCUGAACUCAGACUAUCAAUAUUCUGAUGUAAUUUAUUUUAACAUACAUUUAACUGGAAAUUGAGAAUCACACACAGAAAAAAAGUUAACACAAGGUUUGUUAAAAUAUAUUAAUCAGCUGUGUAAUUUCCAGAAGUGAUUGUUCCUCUAAACACUUUUUUUUUUUGUGAUGAUUUAUUUGAGGGUGAGACAUUAUGUUGGUGAAAUGUGGAGUUUAAAGGACCACUAUAGUGCCAGGAAAACAUACUCGUUUUCCUGGCACUAUAGUGCCCUGAGGGUGCCCCCUCCCGCCGGGCUCUGGGGGGAGGAAAGGGGUUAAAAUCUUACCUUUCUCCAGCGCCGGGCGGGGAGCUCUCCUCUCCGCUUCCGAUCCUCCUCCUGGGCUGAAUGCGCAUGCGCGGCAGGAGCUGUGCGCGCAUUCAGCCGGUCUCAUAGGAAAGCAUUUACAAUGCUUUCCUAUGGACGCUUACGUGUUCUCACUGUGAUUUUCACAGUGAGAAUCACGCAAGCGCCUCUAGCGGCUGUCACUAGAGGAUUUGAGGGCUGGAUUAACCCAUUUGUAAACAUAGCAGUUUCUCUGAAACUGCUAUGUUUAUAAAAAAAAAAAAAAGGUUUAACCCUAGCUGGACCUGGCACCCAGACCACUUCAUUAAGCUGAAGUGGUCUGGGUGCCUAGAGUGGUCCUUUAAGGGGAGGUAAGAGGUAUUAUCAUACAGCUUGUAUCCAUCUUCUGUUCUCAUAAAAUAUUGAUUUUAUUAAGGAUAUUGUGACUUGUGUUUUUUUAGCUGUAGCGUUGCCUUGUUAAGUAUACAAUGUAUCAGGACGAUACAGUGGCCCAACACGCAAAACUAAGAAAACAAUACAAAAGAAAAAUAAACUUAUUACCAGGCUUUAGUAUUGCCAGAUUUAAUGUAAAAAAUAGUAAGGAACACAAACAGGAGCAUAAACAAAUAGACAAAGCCAAAAGUUCAAUGAUACCAGAAAUAAGUAUUGUCAGGAAUGAGCCAAGAUCAAAAACCUGAAGACACUUUCAAAGAAUGCGCUCUCAGAUAACCAACUAGUUGAAACCACGACAGGGCAACGAAAAACAGUAACUGACUGUUUAAAUAGGCCUAAAUUUAUUUUUAGGGCCUAGAAUGAGUCAUGUGAUUCCAAAAUGUGUGUGUGCAUCAAUGACCACGAUGCACGCAUGUUUGUAUGACCCUUAACCUGGCCGGAGGCUGGAUUACGUAACCCUGCAGGAAAACAGCGGUCGGCGUCCAUUAGAACACCACCCUCACAGGGGGCUGCAGCACAGGCAGACUGGGCUGUGAUCCGCUGCGCCUGAGGUAAGUAGAGGAACAGUAGUGUGGCUGCACUCGCCGUAUGCGGCCACGUGUGCUCCCAUGUUGGGAGCAGUUACAAUAUGUAAGUGUAAGUUGUCGUGCAUAGUAUUUCACAGCUCAUUGAGAAGUGGGUAACCAGGUGAGCUCUGGCCCAGCGCUCCUGCAACUCCUGAUAGCUAGGUGGAGCUAACGGUAAAUCUCCUCCCUGAUUUUAUAAGUGUUAGUGGUAAGUUAGGGAUUGUGUAGGGUUAAGGUUAGGGUAGGUAAACAAUUAGAGUAAAUGCAAGCAUAAGGGUAGUGUUGUAUAGGGUAAGAGUUAAUUACCAAAAAUAUUUAGGGAUAUCAUUAAAUGAAAAUGACUUGGGAACAAUUAUAGUUUACAAACUAGGCAACAGUAUGCAAUGCCGAUCUGCCGUUGCAAAAGCUAGUAUGGUGUAAUAUAAUUUUGCCUCUUUAUAAAACAAUGUUAACACCUUACUUUGAAUAUGCAGUGCAAUUUCGGGCACCCUCUUUAAACAAUGAUAUUGCAGAACUACAAGUGCCAAGGCGAGCUACAAAAUUAGUUUGAUAUAUCGGAAUCAAUUAUAUGUUACUUUAAGAGAGUUACUGAUGGACAUUGCUGUGUAUUUAGACGCACGCCAUCAGUUCCUCAGUGCACUAUUAAUGUGUCGAACUUCAUUGCUCUUUCCUUUCAGGAUCCUCAACCACAGGACCCAAUAUUCACUCCUUGACCCCUACUUUAUCCACACUCCUGCCUCGCUAACCUAUCGAUAUAAUUCACAGUCUCUGACCCCGUUUUGAUUACUCUACUUGAUUUACGGCUACUCCUAUGGACUGAUUCCUUCCUGUUUACCUGAACCAGUUUAAAGGGACACUAUAAUCACCAGAACAAUUACAGCUUAAUGUAGUUGUUCUGGUGAGUAUAAUCAUUGCCCUCAGGCAUUUUCAUGCAAACAGUGGGUUUUCGGAGAAAAGGCAGUGUUUACAUUGUUCCCUAGGGACACCGCCAAGUGGCCACUCCUCAGAUGACCACUGGAAGUGCUUCCUGGGGCAAUGCUGCACAGUAGGCAGCAGUGCCAUUACACGUCUUUGCUGCUCUGCGUGGAAACACAAUUUCCCUCAUAGAGAUGCAUUGAUUCUAAAAAAAAAACAGUGUUUGACCUCACCUCCUUGCCAAUUUCAGCCAAUCCCUAUAGGGAUUUCCCUGAGAGAGCAUUGGAUUGGCCAAAAAUCUGAAAUUCUGACGCCUGCACGGUCAAAUAUAUGCAUGGUCAGAACAACUAGCUAUGUGCUAACUGGUUCAUUAGCAGAAAUAUACAACAGACAAGAGGUCACCCAUUGAGCCUGGAAGAAAGGUAUAUUUUGCAUACAGCACAGGGAAGUGUUCUUUACAGUAUAACAAUAAAGAUGUGACAUUUUGUUGCCUAAGGAGGUUGUCUUAUCAGAUUCAACAGGUAUUUUUAAAAGAGGCUUGGAUGCUUUUUUGCAUAUACAGAAUAUUCAUGGAUAUAAUUGAUAUGUAUGUAAGCAGGUUCUUGAUCCAAUGAGAAAUCUGAUUGGAUUAUGGAGUCAAGAAUAAUUUUUUUCCCCACUUUUUGUGGCAUCAUUGGAAUUGUCUACAAAUCUUUUUUUUACCUUCUUUAGGAUCAGCUGCAUAAUAAAAUAGGUUUCAAGGUUGAACUUGAUGGACUUUAGUCUGUUUUCUGUGUCAACUAUAAUUACUUUACGUACACCUUUGAAUGUUUUUGUCUCUUUUAUUAAUCUUCACUUGAGUGAUAAUGUCUACCAACAUUUCUAAUUUGAGAUUUGUCUUAUUACCAAUUUUUCAGAAUGUUCCAAAACCUCAGAUGUCCUUGAAUGUGACAUCAGUGCCCAUGCAGACAAUGGGCAUUAACUGCUCUGUAAGAAAAGCUGGAAAUUAAGCUCGAGGUGAAGCAGGGGCCAGACAAUGUGAUCCUGGAGUAUUCUAGAAGCCCUAACAAAAAUCUUGCUGUA